UACGGGGGGGGCAAGCGUUGUUCGGAAUUACUGGGCGUAAAGGGCUCGUAGGCGGCCAACUAAGUCAGACGUGAAAUCCCUCGGGCUUAACCGGGGAACUGCGUCUGAUACUGGAUGGCUUGAGUUUGGGAGAGGGAUGCGGAAUUCCAGGUGUAGCGGUGAAAUGCGUAGAUAUCUGGAGGAACACCGGUGGCGAAGGCGGCAUCCUGGACCAACACUGACGCUGAGGAGCGAAAGCCAGGGGAGCAAAGCGGGG
rnacentral:rRNA from 1 species